rfam:Felis catus isolate Cinnamon breed Abyssinian chromosome B4, whole genome shotgun sequence.
ACAUGGGUUUUAUUUAAAACCAUCAAGAGAUUUUUUUACAAGGUGG